UAUGGUCAUAUCAUGUUGAAACACUGGUUCUUGUCUGAUCACCAAAGUUAAACAACAUUGAGCCUUGUCAGUACCUGGAUGGGUGACCACUUGGGAAUACCAGGUGCUGCAAA